AAAUAGAAGGGUUGUCUGAA
rnacentral:snRNA from 1 species